UAGGGAAUCUUCGGCAAUGGACGGAAGUCUGACCGAGCAACGCCGCGUGAGUGAAGAAGGUUUUCGGAUCGUAAAGCUCUGUUGUAAGAGAAGAACGAGUGUGAGAGUGGAAAGUUCACACUGUGACGGUAUCUUACCAGAAAGGGACGGCUAACUACGUGCCAGCAGCCGCGGUAAUACGUAGGUCCCGAGCGUUGUCCGGAUUUAUUGGGCGUAAAGCGAGCGCAGGCGGUUAGAUAAGUCUGAAGUUAAAGGCUGUGGCUUAACCAUAGUAGGCUUUGGAAACUGUUUAACUUGAGUGCAAGAGGGGAGAGUGGAAUUCCAUGUGUAGCGGUGAAAUGCGUAGAUAUAUGGAGGAACACCGGUGGCGAAAGCGGCUCUCUGGCUUGUAACUGACGCUGAGGCUCGAAAGCGUGGGGAGGAAACAGGAUUAGAUACCCUGGUAGUCCACGCUGUAAACGAUGAGUGCUAGGUGUUAGACCCUUUCCGGGGUUUAGUGCCGUAGCUAACGCAUUAAGCACUCCGCCCGGGGAGUACGACCGCAAGGUUG
rnacentral:rRNA from 1 species